CAGGCUGAAAGUUACCUUACCUUCACGUUUAUUUUGCUUAUUACUCCCUUUUUGUUUUCUUCUAUUCGUCUUAAAUCCAGAGAGCUUGUAUUUCAGCUGCUGUCUGUCUGCAUUUAUAGUGAAUGAAGUUUCUCAUUCUGCAAGACCAGCACAUGUUGAAAAUGUGAUGACAAUAGAGCAUGUGACAUACUGAGAAAUCUCAAGUGACUAGGAGCCUUCUGCAAACGCUUCUCAUUAUGACAUUCCUCUAAUGACUGACAACACGAGACUCAGUCAUGCUCUGCACCACAGAAAGGACAGCAAAUAAAAAUUCAACCGAAACAAUUAAACACAUUGUAAUUUUCAAGUCUGUGCCACCAGUUUGCUUUUCUGAUGGAUGCUCAAGAUGGGUCCGUCUUCUCCUCCACAGACACAAAAUGGGUGAGUUCGCAAACAAUCUUGGAAUUUCUACAUUAGUUUAAGACUGAGCUCACUCAGGCGUUUCUGUAAACAUAACUGCGUUAUAUUACAGCUGCACUCAGAAUCAAACACAUGAGAUGUUAUGGACCAGAGUUCUAGCAGCCAA